CUGGUUUUAAUGAUGAUUCAAUUCACCAUCUUUCGGCUGAAAUUAUGAUGCAACUUGAUUUAAAUCUGACAGAAACCAG
rnacentral:snoRNA from 1 species